CCCUUAGAUGUUCUGGGCCGCACGCGCGCUACACUGAUCGGUGCAACAAGCAUCCGUCCUUGGCCGACAGGCCCGGGCAAUCUUUGAACGCCGGUCGUGAUGGGGAUAGACCUUUGCAAUUUUUGGUCUUCAACGAGGAAUUCCUAGUAAACGCAAGUCAUCAACUUGCAUUGAUUACGUCCCUGCCCUUUGUACACACCGCCCGUCGCACCUACCGAUUGAAUGGUCCGGUGAAAUCUCCGGACUGGCGUGAGUCGGAGCAAUCUGACAAACGCCGGAAAGUUGAUUAAACCUUACCAUUUAGAGGAAGGUGAAGUCGUAACA
rnacentral:rRNA from 1 species